GGCUGAUCUAUCAACACAACAAACCACCAACAAGGACUGCAGACAGACGGAGUGAGAUCAGGAACCGAUGGAAUCACGACCACAGAACGUGGAAAAUGUUACAAUUCCAAAGGUUGUGAAGCAUGAUCCAUUAUUGCGGGGGCUAUCGCGUGGGGACCGCCGCUACAUGUUCAGUAUCAUCAGUGUGUACAACCCAGAACCGGACAGGAGGCGACUGUACCACAAACACAAAUUACUCUGCGAACAUGUUCUGUCACAGUGAGCAUGCAGGAAAUGCACAGCCCUUUUUGUAAAUCAUCAAUUUUCUGUAUCACAAAAUAAAAAACCAUCUAAUAAAAAUAUUUAAAAAAAUGGCA